GCGUCCUGUGGCAGGCCGAUGCAUGUCGACCUGCUGCUCCUCCUGCCGGCGACGUUCACAACCACGAUCUGCUGCUGGAGCGCACUCACCAACCUCCUGCUGCCGUUGAGACAGUUACUGCUAGCAGUACAAAGAAGGGUGAUCUGAUACUCGGUGAGAUCCAGUCACAGAUCAAGAACAAAGGAAUCACUAUAGAUGUGAAGGCCAACUCAGCAUCUAAUGUCAUUACUACAAUUACCGCUGAUGCGUAUGCGGCACCAGGGCCGAAGACCAUCUUCCGCUUUGCUGUUCCUGGUCAAAAAUCUGGAAAGGUCUAGCUCCAGUACUUACAUGAUUAUGCUGGUAUUAAUGCAAGCAUUGGUUUGACUGCUAAUCCUGAAAGCAGCCUCUCUGCUGCACUUGGAACUAACGCUCUAGCUGUUGGUGCUGAUGUCUGAAUCAAAACGGAUGACCCAUCUGUCAGCGCUGGUGUGUUUCCUUGUUUCCCUAUCUCGAUGCAGAAACAACAGGCAUCUCAAGUGUUUGCAACCGUAGUUUCCAGCAAACUGAUAGAAGUAGCUAUCUAGCUAAAGUUACUUGAUACAUGUUGCAGUAGUAGAUAGUACAUGAAUAAAGUUGGCGCUCCCUAGUUAUCUACUCGACUAGACUACAUGGUCAGUUCUGAACUAGUAUUUGUUCAUGGUUUAGUUUUCGUCAGGUUCUCUGUUGGCAUCAUAUCCCACUUAUUACUGACGUACACAUAAAUUACCAUGUUUACUUUAUGAUCACUGCUUUACAUGUUGCUAUAUGUUAGUUAAGAAUAUUCUAACAUUAAUUACCAUCUAUUGUUCUUUAUCUCUCACUGAUGUACAUAUUGCUAGCUGUUUAGAACCAUUCAUUGCUAGUGUAAUACUCUAGCGGUAGUAAUACAUCAUUAUCUCUAGCGCUCGUCAUAUAGAAAAGGUAUCUAGCUCGUCCCUCUAGCACUCGUAAAAGAAAUCCUUGUCGUUCUAGUUUGAUUGCCUGCCAUAAUUAAACCAGAUUCUGCAAGUUAUUGUUCUAGUUUGAUUAUCUGCUGCUCAUAUAGUUAUUGAUGUGGUUUGAUGGUUCUGCCAUAAUUACAACUUUUUGUGUUCUGUUAUAGUAAUAUAUCAUUAUCUCCU